rnacentral:sRNA from 1 species
UUGAUGCUGAAUUGUCACCUUCUGUGCUGGCGGGCCAUCCUGGUUUGCACGUGCACGUCUGUGGCUUUCAUUUCAUCCUCUACCACCCUUGUGAACCAUUGGCCUCAGCUAGCUUCGGCUGGCGGAGGAUUUUCUUACACACGCAUGAAUGGAAUGAGAACAUCUUGUUGUGCACAAGCACUACAUAUCUAACAACUUUCAACAACGGAUCUCUUGGCUCUCGCAUCGAUGAAGAACGCAGCGAAAUGCGAUAAGUAAUGUGAAUUGCAGAAUUCAGUGAAUCAUCGAAUCUUUGAACGCACCUUGCACCCUUUGGCAUUCCGAAGGGUAUGCUCGUUUGAGUGUCAUUGUACUCUCACACUCUCUGAUUUCCGAUCGGGGGGCGGUGGACUUGGGUGUUGCUGCUUUGCUGUGGCUCAUCUCAAAUGCAGUAGUGCACCUCUUGGUUGGACAUAGUACAGCGUGAUAAUUAUCUUCGCUGGCUCCUCGCACGAGGGUGUCUGAUCGGGGGCUCUGUGCUUCCAACUGUCCUUGGUUUGGACACACUCUGACAA